GCACAGAUGACAGAAGAUGCAGCAGAUCGUCAAAACUGCAAUCUGACCAGCCAUACUUAGCCUUCAGGAUGAGUAGCUCAAGCACAAAACGGAGCAGUGUCCAAUGUGUUGGACAGCCCUUCUCAACACCAUACACAGUCUCCUUUGACGCUGUUUUCACCCGCUCUAGAUUUUCUAGACCCUUCUUCUGUUGUAGUAUUUCUGGUCCAAUGGCCCGAAGCAUUUUCUCUAAGUUGUCAAAGUUUUCUGCAUCCCCCUCACAUGC
rnacentral:lncRNA from 1 species